UUUAUGCAAUUAUAGAGUCUAUGGGUAAAUCGUAAAUAUAUGUGUUGGGUUUUAAUAAAGUUUCAAUAUUGUGUAUGUUUAGGUUGCAUAGGGUUGAGUUCUUGAUUAGUUGCAUCGAGAGAAGGGGAAAAAUCAAGAUUCUUGGGGGUGAGUUUGAUUUUGAGAUUAAGGGGUUGUUUGCCAAAUGUUUUUUUUUAAAUGCUUGUCAUAUUGCUGCGUUUAACUCAUCUGAGUUGUGUUGGAAAUAUGGUGAAGCUGCGAGAAAGGAGAAAGAGGAUGAGGAGGAAAUUGAGUAUGAUUCCGACGGAUUAUGACCAGCUACACUUGAUCCCGUGGAUAUCAUAGGCCUCCUACGGCUUGUUGAUGAAUUAACAGGACUUGCGUUGAUGGAAGCUGGGGAGUUGGAUUCGAUUGUGAUGAAGAAGAUGGUAUGAAGGAACCCCCGGUUGUUGGUAUGAUGAAAGCAGGUUCUGUAUUGGGUGGUAUGGGUGCAGUGAAGGGAGCACUAGGAGCGAAGGAGGAUGCGAUGCUGGAGAAAACUGCGUUUGAACUGAUGUUGGAUGCACCUGGAAAGAUUAAAGAGUUGGUGGAGAAGAUUCCUGCAGUGUUUAAGAAGAGCUUUUCUAAAGAAGAAGCAGAACAAAUAAUCAUGAAGAUGAAAGCUCUUGGUGCCAAAGUUGUCAUGAAGUGAACUCCAAAUUAAUCAGGGGCACCUGUUUGCACCAUGCUUCUUGAUAUUUGGCUUGCAAAGACAAAGAAUUUUGGAUACUCUAACAGGGUGUCUCCACCAAGAACUCAUGUA